rnacentral:rRNA from 1 species
AGAGUUUGAUCAUGGCUCAGAUUGAACGCUGGCGGCAUGCCUUACACAUGCAAGUCGAACGGCAGCACGGGGGCAACCCUGGUGGCGAGUGGCGAACGGGUGAGUAACAUAUCGGAACAUACCCUAGAGUGGGGGAUAACGUAGCGAAAGUUACGCUAAUACCGCAUACGAUCUAAGGAUGAAAUGGGGGAUCUUCGGACCUCAUGCUCAUGGAGUGGCCGAUAUCUGAUUAGCUAGUUGGUGAGGUAAAGGCUCACCAAGCCGACGAUCGGUAGCUGGUCUGAGAGGAUGAUCAGCCACACUGGGACUGAGAUACGGCCCAGACUCCUACGGGAGGCAGCAGUGGGGAAUAUUGGACAAUGGGGGCAACCCUGAUCCAGCAAUGCCGCGUGAGUGAUGAAGGCCUUAGGGUUGUAAAGCUCUUUUGCCAGGGAAGAUGAUGACUGUACCUGGAGAAUAAGCCCCGGCUAACUUCGUG